rnacentral:rRNA from 1 species
UUGGAGGGCAAGUCUGGUGCCAGCAGCCGCGGUAAUUCCAGCUCCAAUAGCGUAUAUUAAAGUUGUUGCAGUUAAAAAGCUCGUAGUUGAAUUUCGGGAUCAAGGAAUCGGUCAUGCCUUGGUAUGUACUGGUUUUAUUGGUUCUCACCUUCUAAAAAACCAUAAUGUCAUUUAUUUGAUGUUAUGGGGAAUUAGGACUGUUACCUUGAAAAAAUUAGAGUGUUUAAAGCAAGCUUACGCUUGAAUACAUUAGCAUGGAAUAAUGAAAUAGGACAUCAGAUUCUAUUUUGUUGGUUUCUAGGAUCGAUGUAAUGAUUAAUAGGGAUAGUUGGGGGCAUUAGUAUUCAAUUGUCAGAGGUGAAAUUCUUGGAUUUAUUGAAGACUAACUACUGCGAAGGCAUUUGCCAAGGAUGUUUUCAUUAAUCAAGAACGAAAGUUAGGGGAUCGAAGACGAUCAGAUACCGUCGUAGUCUUAACCAUAAACUAUGCCGACUAGGGAUCGGAUGAUGUUAAUUUUUUAAUGACUCAUUCGGCGCCUUACGGGAAAC